UACAGAGGGUGCGAGCGUUGUCCGGAAUCACUGGGCGUAAAGGGCGCGUAGGUGGUGGCUUAAGCGUGCGGUGAAAGCUCGGGGCUCAACCCCGAGUCGGCCGUGCGAACUGGGCUCACUGGAGCAUAGUAGAGGCAGGUGGAAUUCCGGGGUGUAGCGGUGGAAUGCGUAGAGAUCCGGAAGAACACCGGUGGCGAAGGCGGCCUGCUGGGCUAUGGCUGACACUGAGGCGCGACAGCGUGGGGAGCAAACAGG
rnacentral:rRNA from 1 species